ensembl:snRNA U6 U6 spliceosomal RNA
GUGUUCGCUUCGGCAGCACAUAUACUAAAACUGGAAUGAUACAGAGAAGAUUAGCAUGGCCUGCACAAGGAUGACAUGCAAAUUCGUGAAGCGUUCCACAUUUAU